UCAAUAAACAAGUGACUGAUCUUUCAGUUUAGAUAAACAAGCGACUGAUCCUUCAGUUUAGAUAAACAAGCGACUGAUCCUUCAGUUUAG